CCCAGCUCUCAGUCAGCUGACCAGACUCCUCCUGUCUGUUUUGGUGUUACAGAGCUGGAAAAGUAAGUCUCUGUACUUGGCCUCGGCAACGCUGCCUCUGUUUUAGAGUGCACUGAUGCUGAGCUGCUGUAGAGCGUGGCCUAACGAGAGUGGCCUGUCCUGGUUCCACAUCAGGACAGGCCUAGUACAGGGCUGCACAUA
rnacentral:snoRNA from 1 species